CCUACGGGAGGCAGCAGUGAGGAAUAUUGGUCAAUGGACGCAAGUCUGAACCAGCCAUGCCGCGUGCAGGAAGACGGCUCUAUGAGUUGUAAACUGCUUUUGUACGAGGGUAAACGCAGAUACGCGUAUCUGUCUGAAAGUAUCGUACGAAUAAGGAUCGGCUAACUCCGUGCCCGCAGCCGGGGGAAUACGGAGGAUUCAAGCGUUAUCCGGAUUUAUUGGGUUUAAAGGGUGCGUAGGCGGUCGGGUAAGUUGGAGGUGAAAUCCCGAGGCUCAACUUCGGAAUUGCCUCUGAUACUGUUCGGCUAGAGAGUAGGUGCGGGAGGCGGAAUGUAUGGUGUAGCGGUGAAAUGCUUAGAGAUCAUACAGAACACCGAUGGCGAAGGCAGCUUACCAAGCUACUUCUGACGUUGAGGCACGAAAGCGUGGGGAGCAAACAGGAUUAGAUACCCCUGUAGUC
rnacentral:rRNA from 1 species